rnacentral:ncRNA from 14 species
AAGUAAAAGUCGUAACAAGGUUUUUUAUUGGUUCUUCUGCAGUGCGCCAAAGGAAGCCUUAGCAGCCUGAAAGGGUGUAUCUCCGCGACUAUAAAUAAAAAGGGGAUUUUAAAUGCUAGUCUGAUAAAAAAAGGCGACAUUGCCAAAUUGCGGGAAGUCCCUAAAGAUUCAACUACUAAGCAGCUUGUGGAAACACAGUUGUGGCCGAGUUAAUAGCCCUGGGUAUAGUAACAAUGUUGAAUAUGACUCUUAAUUGAGGAAAUGGGUGAUCCGCAGCCAAAUCCUAAGGACAUUUUAUUGUCUAUGGAUGCAGUUCACAGGCCAGAUGGCAAUGGGUAUCCUAGUGGGAUAUAUAUAUAUGGAUGCUUAAGAUAUGGUCGAGCUUCUCUCGAAAGAGAGGAGGUAGCACUGUUCCGUAGGUGAACCUGCGGAAGGAUCAUUA